AUGUAGUCGAUUUCAGCUCAUGUUAGGAUGAGAUUCUCCUCCUAUUCCUAACAGGACUGUGAUUUGCCCCAUUUGUUCAUGAUCGAAGGUCUUUUCGAGGCCACUCGAGUUUGAUGCUUCCUCUCGGUGCUCAAGCAUGGGGGCCUGAACUUCUCGUUAUCUCGAGGGAGUCGAUUUUCUCCCGCCAGUGUUGGGUUCUCUCUUGGAGAC
rnacentral:lncRNA from 1 species